CACGUAGGGCGCAAGCGUUGUCCGGAAUUAUUGGGCGUAAAGAGCUCGUAGGCGGUCUGUUGCGUCUGCUGUGAAAACCCGGGGCUUAACCCCUGGCUUGCAGUGGAUACGGACAGACUAGAGGUAGGUAGGGGAGAAUGGAAUUCCCGGUGUAGCGGUGAAAUGCGCAGAUAUCGGGAGGAACACCGGUGGCGAAGGCGGUUCUCUGGACAGUUCCUGACGCUGAGGCACGAAGGCCAGGGGGAGCAAACGGG
rnacentral:rRNA from 1 species